ensembl:snoRNA small nucleolar RNA SNORA19
AAGCACAUUUCAUUGUCUUUCUCUUACUAUUUAUAAGAACAAAGAUAUUUCUGAUGUGCUAGAUAAUAGGUGAAGGUAAAUUAGCAGUGUGGCACACAUUGCCACCACUGUCAGUCACCUUCAAACACAA